rnacentral:rRNA from 1 species
GAUGAAGCCCAGCUUGCUGGGUGGAUUAGUGGCGAACGGGUGAGUAACACGUGGGUGAUCUGCCCUGCACUCUGGGAUAAGCCUGGGAAACUGGGUCUAAUACCGGAUAUGACCUCGGGAUGCAUGUCCUGGGGUGGAAAGUUUUUCGGUGCAGGAUGAGCCCGCGGCCUAUCAGCUUGUUGGUGGGGUAAUGGCCUACCAAGGCGACGACGGGUAGCCGGCCUGAGAGGGCGACCGGCCACACUGGGACUGAGACACGGCCCAGACUCCUACGGGAGGCAGCAGUGGGGAAUAUUGCACAAUGGGCGCAAGCCUGAUGCAGCGACGCCGCGUGAGGGAUGACGGCCUUCGGGUUGUAAACCUCUUUCAGCAGGGACGAAGCGCAAGUGACGGUACCUGCAGAAGAAGCACCGGCCAACUACGUGCCAGCAGCCGCGGUAAUACGUAGGGUGCGAGCGUUGUCCGGAAUUACUGGGCGUAAAGAGCUCGUAGGCGGUUUGUCGCGUCGUCUGUGAAAUCCCGCAGCUCAACUGCGGGCUUGCAGGCGAUACGGGCAGACUCGAGUACUGCAGGGGAGACUGGAAUUCCUGGUGUAGCGGUGAAAUGCGCAGAUAUCAGGAGGAACACCGGUGGCGAAGGCGGGUCUCUGGGCAGUAACUGACGCUGAGGAGCGAAAGCGUGGGUAGCGAACAGGAUUAGAUACCCUGGUAGUCCACGCCGUAAACGGUGGGCGCUAGGUGUGGGUUUCCUUCCACGGGAUCCGUGCCGUAGCCAACGCAUUAAGCGCCCCGCCUGGGGAGUACGGCCGC